AUUGAACGCUGGCGGCAUGCCUUACACAUGCAAGUCGAACGGCAGCACGGGAGCAAUCCUGGUGGCGAGUGGCGAACGGGUGAGUAAAGUAUCGGAACGUGCCCAGUCGUGGGGGAUAACGUAGCGAAAGUUACGCUAAUACCGCAUACGAUCUACGAAUGAAAGCGGGGGAUCGCAAGACCACGCGCGAUUGGAGCGGCUGAUAUCAGAUUAGGUAGUUGGUGGGGUAAGGGCUCACCAAGCCGACGAUCUGUAGCUGGUCUGAAGAGGUCGACCAGCCACACUGGGACUGAGACACGGCCCAGACUCCUACGGGAGGCAGCAGUGGGGAAUUUUGGACAAUGGGCGCAAGCCUGAUCCAGCCAUGCCGCGUGCAGGAUGAAGGCCUUCGGGUUGUAAACUGCUUUUGUACGGAACGAAAAGGUUUGGCCUAAUAAGCUGGACCCAUGACGGUACCGUAAGAAUAAGCACCGGCUAACUACGUGCCAGCAGCCGCGGUAA
rnacentral:rRNA from 1 species